rnacentral:lncRNA from 1 species
AUCAAUUUUAUGUGUUUUUAACUAUACUGUAUUCAUAGUUUUUUUUUUUUUUUGAGAGAUAGGUAGGACACUAUCCGCUUCGUUUAUUUCAUUUAGAAAUAAACUUAGCUAGAAAUAUGAAUAAACUAGAAUUCGAACUUGGAUCUCAGAUACCAAACACCAAACCUUUUAUCACUUGCUCUAGGGACGAUCGCUUAUAUUGUAUUCAUAGUUAACAUCA